GUCUAUGGCCAGGCCACCCUGAACACGCCCGAUCUCGUCUGAUCUCGGAAGCUAAGCAGGGUUGGGCCUGGUUAGUACUUGGAUGAGAGACCACCUAGGAAGACCCGGUGCUGUGGGAU
rnacentral:rRNA from 1 species